AGCGAACGCUGGCGGCAGGCUUAACACAUGCAAGUCGAGCGGGCGUAGCAAUACGUCAGCGGCAGACGGGUGAGUAACGCGUGGGAACGUACCUUUUGGUUCGGAACAACCCAGGGAAACUUGGGCUAAUACCGGAUAAGCCCUUACGGGGAAAGAUUUAUCGCCAAAAGAUCGGCCCGCGUCUGAUUAGCUUGUUGGUGAGGUAACGGCUCACCAAGGCGACGAUCAGUAGCUGGUCUGAGAGGAUGAUCAGCCACAUUGGGACUGAGACACGGCCCAAACUCCUACGGGAGGCAGCAGGUUGGGGAAUAUUGGACAAUGGGCGCAAGCCUGAUCCAGCCAUGCCGCGUGAGUGAUGAAGGCCCCAGGGUUGUAAGCUCUUUUGGCAGGAACGAAACGGCAUGAGCGAAUCCUCGUGCUAAUGACGGUACCUGCAGAAUAAGCACCGGCUAACUACGUGCCAGCCG
rnacentral:rRNA from 1 species